GUAGGUGGCAAGCGUAGUCCGGAAUUAUUGGGCGUAAAGCGCGCGCAGGCGGGUUUUUAAGUCUGAUGUGAAAGCCCACGGGCUCAACCGUGGAGGGUCAUUGGAAACUGGAGAACUUGAGUACAGAAGAGGAAAGCGGAAUUCCACGUGUAGCGGUGAAAUGCGUAGAGAUGUGGAGGAACACCAGUGGCGAAGGCGGCUUUCUGGUCUGUAACUGACGCUGAGGCGCGAAAGCGUGGGGAGCAAACAGGAUUAGAUACCCUGGUAGUCCACGCCGUAAACGAUGAGUGCUAAGUGUUAGGGGGUUUCCGCCCCUUAGUGCUGCAGCUAACGCAUUAAGCACUCCGCCUGGGGAGUACGGCCGCAAAGGCUG
rnacentral:rRNA from 1 species